ACAGCUCAGUAACACGUGGACAACCUACCCUAUGGAGGGGGAUAACCCCGGGAAACUGGGGAUAAUACCCCAUAGACUAUGAAUGCUGGAAUGCUUUGUAGUUGAAAGGUCCGCCGCCAUAGGAUGGGUCUGCGGCCGAUUAGGUUGUUGUUGGGGUAACGGCCCAACAAGCCUGUAAUCGGUACGGGUUGUGGGAGCAAGAGCCCGGAGAUGGAUUCUGAGACACGAAUCCAGGCCCUACGGGGCGCAGCAGGCGCGAAAACUUUACAAUGCGGGAAACCGUGAUAAGGGAACUCCGAGUGCCCGUAAAAUCGGGCUGUCCAUCUGUUUAAAUAACAGGUGAAGAAAGGGCCGGGCAAGACCGGUGCCAGCCGCCGCGGUAAUACCGGCGGCUCGAGUGGUGGCCACUAUUACUGGGCUUAAAGCGUUCGUAGCUGGUCUGUUAAGUCUCUGGGGAAAUCUACUGGCUUAACCAAUAGGCGUUUCAGGGAUACUGGCAGACUAGGGACCGGGAGAGGUGAGGGGUACUCCAGGGGUAGGAGUGAAAUCCUGUAAUCCUUGGGGGACCACCUGUGGCGAAGGCGCCUCACCAGAACGGCUCCGACAGUGAGGGACGAAAGCUGGGGGAGCAAACCGGAUUAGAUACCCGGGUAGUCCCAGCCGUAAACGAUGCGCGUUAGGUGUAUCGGUGACCACGAGUCACCGAGGUGCCGAAGAGAAAUCGUGAAACGUGCCGCCUGGGAAGUACGGUCGCAAGGCUGAAACUUAAAGGAAUUGGCGGGGGAGCAC
rnacentral:rRNA from 1 species